rnacentral:rRNA from 1 species
CCCUUAGAUGUUCUGGGCUGCACGCGCGCUACACUGAUGCGCUCAACGAGUUUACGACCUUGCCCGGAAGGGUUGGGUAAUCUUUUUAAAACGCAUCGUGAUGGGGAUAGAUUAUUGCAAUUAUUAAUCUUUAACGAGGAAUUCCUAGUAAGCGCGAGUCAUCAGCUCGUGCUGAUUACGUCCCUGCCCUUUGUACACACCGCCCGUCGCUCCUACCGAUUGAGUGAUGCGGUGAAUAAUUCGGACUGCAGCAGUGUUCAGUUCCUGAACGUUGCAGCGGAAAGUUUAGUGAACCUUAUCACUUAGAGGAAGGAGAAGUCGUAACA